rnacentral:rRNA from 1 species
GACUAACGUCUGGUGUGCGUGCUUAGCACAUGCAAGUCUAACGAUGAAGGCUAGCUUGCUAUGUGGAUUAUUGGCUGAACGGGAGGACGAAGACGGGAUUAAGCUACCUUUAACUCUGGGAUAAGCCCGGGAAACUGGGUCUAAUACCGGAUACGACCAAUCUCCGCAUGGGGUGUUGGUGGAAAGCGUUAUGUAGUGGUUAUAGAUGGGCUCACGGCCUAUCAGCUUGUUGGUGAGGUAACGGCUCACCAAGGCGACGACGGGUAGCCGGCCUGAGAGGGUGACCGGCCACACUGGGACUGAGACACGGCCCAGACUCCUACGGGAGGCAGCAGUGGGGAAUAUUGCACAAUGGGCGCAAGCCUGAUGCAGCGACGCCGCGUGAGGGAUGACGGCCUUCGGGUUGUAAACCUCUGUUAGCAGGGAAGAAGAGAGAUUGACGGUACCUGCAGAGAAAGCGCCGGCUAACUACGUGCCAGCAGCCGCGGUAAUACGUAGGGCGCGAGCGUUGUCCGGAAUUAUUGGGCGUAAAGAGCUUGUAGGCGGUUUGUCGCGUCUGCUGUGAAGGCCGGGGCUUAACUCCGUGUAUUGCAGUGGGUACGGGCAGACUAGAGUGCAGUAGGGGAGACUGGAAUUCCUGGUGUAGCGGUGGAAUGCGCAGAUAUCAGGAGGAACACCGAUGGCGAAGGCAGGUCUCUGGGCUGUAACUGACGCUGAGAAGCGAAAGCAUGGGGAGCGAACAGGAUUAGAUACCCUGGUAGUCCAUGCCGUAAACGUUGGGCACUAGGUGUGGGGGACAUUCCACGUUUUCCGCGCCGUAGCUAACGCAUUAAGUGCCCCGCCUGGGGAGUACGGCCGCAAGGCUAAAACUCAAAGAAAUUGACGGGGGCCCGCACAAGCGGCGGAGCAUGCGGAUUAAUUCGAUGCAACGCGACGAACCUUACCAAGGCUUGACAUAUACUGGACCGCAUCAGAGAUGGUGUUUCCCUUCGGGGCUGGUAUACAGGUGGUGCAUGGUUGUCGUCAGCUCGUGUCGUGAGAUGUUGGGUUAAGUCCCGCAACGAGCGCAACCCUCGUUCUAUGUUGCCAGCACGUUAUGGUGGGGACUCAUAGGAGACUGCCGGGGUCAACUCGGAGGAAGGUGGGGAUGACGUCAAAUCAUCAUGCCCCUUAUGUCUUGGGCUUCACGCAUGCUACAAUGGCCGGUACAGAGGGUUGCGAUACUGUGAGGUGGAGCUAAUCCCUAAAAGCCGGUCUCAGUUCGGAUUGGGGUCUGCAACUCGACCCCAUGAAGUCGGAGUCGCUAGUAAUCGCAGAUCAGCAACGCUGCGGUGAAUACGUUCCCGGGCCU